UAAGUGCUUCCAUGUUUGGGUGA
rnacentral:miRNA from 1 species